UGAGCUGCGUGCUACAGCGAGGCUAAGCUAGUGGGGGCAAAGUUUCAGUGCAUUCCGUUGAUGUAGACGGCGUGAAAACGGAAACAAGAAGUAUGCCGGCUCACUGUGCUGCAUACAAUUACACACUGUGUCGUACGAUUGAGACAAGGAAACAUGGAAUGACUUUUCAUAGGUUUCCCAGAGACUAUGGGUUGAGGAGGAAUUGGAAGUUUGUUGGCUUAGACCUGGUGUCAUUCCAUCAGUGUUAAACUUCCCAGCUCAUCCUGGAAGAGUACGUGCCAGAAAGACCACGACCAAGCAGCCUUGAGAUCUUAGGCAGCGUCUCACUGAGGUCCCUCUCUAUCUCCUCACACAUCCACCAACCACUGGAACACAUCUCCAAAGUUCUGCCGGGCCAGCUCAGCUUCCCCUCAGAAGAAGUGCUGCCACCUGCCAGAUGAAGGAGCCUUUUGAGAGGCAGCUGGCAUCGUGAUUGGACUGUACUUUGGUCUGUUCCAAUCCAGCUUCAGCUCCAGACACGGCAGGCGGGACGAGUCAACGGAGGCCGGGUGGACGAAGGCAUGCAGCUGAGUACAAUCCAGAAAACAACAGAGGAGGAGUGCAGCUGCCCAGGGCCAGAACAACCAGAGUAGCAUCGUAUGUCUCUUAGAAAACAUCAUAGUAUAGCCUUUGGGAUGAAAAAACGCCAUCAUAUACAUCGUAUAUUGUACAAAUAACAAGUCAAAGGAAAGAGACAUACAUUGUAGAAUUAUAGUAAUUGUGGGCUGACUGAUUUUCUGAUUAUCAGUAUUUUAUUUUUUACUGAUUUACAGUAAUAAAUACAUUUAAAAAUGGUGCUACUUUGGCUCUGAACCUUUAUCUACCUGUGGUCGCUCUGUCUUCUGGAGUGAUUUGAUUGGUUAUACAUCACGAAUAAAACUCCUUUAACUUAACAUCUGUAAACAAAACAAAAACGUAUCAACAAAGUUUUGUUAGAGUUUGUGUUCUUCAAAGUUUAACUCCAAGAUUUUAAAUACUUUCAUUUACUGCAAAUGAAUAUCUACUCCAAAUGUCUCAAUAAUAAUCAUUAUCAGCCUUAAAAACCCACAAAACACCCCUCUAUACUCGACCACACUUAGUACAGUCUGGUUCCCCCUUCUAUAAAUCUGCUUGGAAUCGUUCACUUCCUGUUUGUCAAAGUGGCCUUCUACCUGGACAGGUUUUGUUGGAGCUCAUGCAACAAACAUUUUGGGUAACUGCACUUUAAUAUGGAUGGAUGACACUGAAUUAGAG
ensembl:lncRNA